UACGUAGGGGGCAAGCGUUGUCCGGAUUUAUUGGGCGUAAAGCGCUCGCAGGUGGUUCGAUGCGUCGUGCGUGAAAGACCCCGGCUCAACUGGGGAGGGUCGUGCGAUACGGUCGAACUGGAGGCCAGUAGGGGGAUGCGGAAUUCCGGGUGUAGUGGUGGAAUGCGUAGAGAUCCGGAGGAACACCAGCGGCGAGGCGGCAUCC
rnacentral:rRNA from 1 species